GUGCAUGUGAUGUGAAAUUUAAAAUGUCUGAAUGUCUGAUGCAUUCAAAGGAACCACUGAUGCCA